rnacentral:rRNA from 1 species
UGCGAAGGGUGCAAGCGUUAAUCGGAAUUACUGGGCGUAAAGGGUGCGUAGGCGGUUCGUUAAGUCUGUUGUGAAAUCACCCGGCUCAACUGGGUGGCUGCGGAGGAGACUGGGCAGCUUGAGGGGCCUAGAGGCCGGUGGAACUCCCGGUGUAGUGGUGAAAUGCGUAGAGAUCGGGAAGAACACCGGUGGCGAAGGCGGUUAGCUGGGCAGUUGCUGACACUGAGGCGCGACAGCGUGGGGAGCAAACAGG